UACGAGGGGGGCGAGCGUUGUUCGGAAUUAUUGGGUCGUAAAGGGUGCGUAGGCGGUUUUGUAAGUCUUAUGUGAAAUCUAUGGGCUCAACUCAUAGACUGCAUGAGAAACUGCAGGGCUUGAGUAUGGGAGAGGUGAGUGGAAUUCCUGGUGUAGCGGUGAAAAUGCGUAGAUAUCAGGAAGAACACCCGUGGCGAAGGCGGCUCUCUGGGAACGGUACUGACGCUGAGACGCGAAAGCCGUGGGGAGCGAACAGG
rnacentral:rRNA from 1 species